rnacentral:lncRNA from 1 species
CCUCUAGGGCUGCUUAUGGGGUGGUUCGGUUUGAUUUUAAAGUUUAUCGAUUUGACAUAUUUAUUAUCGGUUUGUAAUAAAACUAAAUCAUUAAGAACCAUUAAGAUAUCGGCUUAUUGGUUAUCGAUUUAUUGGUUAUUAAUUGUUAUCGGUUUGGUUAUUGGGUUAAACCGUUAACAUUCAAAUAUUUUCCAAACAUAAGCAAAUCAUACAGAAUCAUAUAAGUAUAACUAUGCCUUG